GCCCGGGCAUCAAUAGCCUGACAUAACGGGCGGUCAUAAGAUCUAAGCGCAAAGGAACAAAGGAGUGAGUCGGGUUGGGACUGAUGGUGCAGCCGGGCCAUAACAUACGUUCCGACCACAGACGUAAGAUGCGGAUGAAGCAGAUGUUAAGGCAAGCUGCCAAGCGUUUAAUGCUACGGAUUUUGGCAGGGACCAAAUCUUUUAGACGUACCAAUACCCAGUGGAUUAGCUUUACGUCUUUAAACCACUGUGCCACUCCCCUAAUUGUUCAGUUAUUUGUAAUUGUAGUCAAGGUUCUUUUGACCAAACCCCACAUGUCAUAUGCUAGUUAUCAUGAUGUUUAGGAUCAAAUACAAAGGUUCCUAAGAAUAAGAAGUCGUACAAAGGGCAUCAAAUGGACUCCGAUUGACCUCAUUCAAGCAGUGGAACUGUCUCAUAUAUGUAGUUAAAGCUGCAAUAUCUGUGAAUAAGUUGUUAGGAACUUAGGGUUUGUAAACACUGCCGAAGGUCACUUUUUAAUUUUUUUUAUUUCAGGUGCGCAAGGACCACAGGUACAGAAAGUUCUUGAACAGCUAACUGGACAACAUACCGUUCCAAAUGUUUUUAUUGGUAUGGGGCAAGCACAUAGGCGGUUGUACAGAUACUGUCAAUUUACAUAGGAAGGGGGAACUUGAAGCUUUGCUGGCUGAGGCGAAAAACACCUAACUCGAUAUUGCUCAACUGUUUUGAUGCACAACCUUAUUUUCUGAAUUGUUGUGAUGCACAAAAAAUGAUAUAUAUUUUUUUGCUGUUUUGUUGGCCAAACUUGACUAAUUUUGAUGUAAUCUUGUUGAUCUUGUGAUAUA
rnacentral:lncRNA from 1 species